CCUGCCUGCUCCCUUUUAGGACAAACCCACCAGCAAGGAGGUCUUCUAGCUCUUAUUGUGUGUGUUCUCCUGCUGGUCCUGGCUUUGGCCCCAGGGACCUCUGGGUUCCCUCAGCUGCACUUCCAUCCAGCCUCAGUGCAUAGGACUCUGUGCCUGACCUCCUCCAGGCGGGGCUGCUGCCCCCAGGUGUCCAGCUGGUACGGAGCUCCCGUGGCAGCUCUCCUCUGAUGACCGAGUGUGCUGGGGAUGCUAAGGCUGACUUGUUGCUGGCACAGCCAAACCUUCUUUGCUGACUGUUUCAAAGACUCCCUAAAGGCUCCACGUAUUUUCCUUAGAACACAGUCCUGAGCAGUCCCACCCAUCCUCUUCCCCUCUCUCCCCCACACUGGGGGUCACACUUGCUUCAUGGUCUAGUGGCUUACCCAGUUUUUUCUCAUUCUUUUCAUUAUGUCUGUUCCCUCCUAAAACCCCUGCAAUUUAGUUUUGGCGUCUGUUUCUCAGAGGAGCUCGGUAACAGACUCCACACUCUCUUCUCCCAGUCCCUGCUGCCCCUGUGGCAAGGUGGGCAGUUGGGGACAACAGAGCCGGCUUCCCUUGUCCAAAGCAUAAGCUAUUCCUUAGCAAAAUGGAGCGCCGCCCCCGCAGCUAAGGGCUGCAUUUCUCCUUGUUCCUGCUAGUCACAUCCAGCACAUCUGGGCUAUCACUCUUGAUGGCAACAUUAGAUUGGGGCCCACUGUGGUCAUAACAGGGGUGGACCAGGUGGCAGAGUCUUCAGUCACCAUGGAAACCCCGGCAUCCAGUGCUAACAGGUAUUUUAGAAUAGAGGCUCAGAUGCUCGCAGAUGCGGCCCCAAUCCUCCGCCCCCUCCCUGCAGCUGCUGGGCAGGCCUCCUGGGCUCAUCACUGCCUUCUGGCAGGGCCUCAGUGGCAGCUUGCUCUGGAAGGCAUCCUGACUCUGGGUUCAGGAGCUUGCUGGGCUUCUGCUUGAAAGUUUGAGGUUAGAAUGUCACCUUUUCUGAGUUACAUUUUUCUGCUGCAGAUUUUGGACAUUUCCUGAGGGACACUGAAUACAUGGGAGUUGAUGGAGGGGAGGAAGGAGGGGCUAGAAGGAAGGAAAGGGCUAUCACUGGGUGGGCCCUCUGGGACAGGGCGUAGCGCAGGGACAGUGCUAGGGGGACUUCACACGGAGGAAUGAGGGGUGGGAUGCAGUGACAUCACAAGGGUCCCAUUAUGACCCCUCCUCCAUCAGCUAAGGGGGGAUGGGCUGAGCCUGAACAGAGGGAGAGGGGAGUAAAUAAGGGGCUGUUGCCAGAGCCUGAGCCCACCAGAGAAAGUCUGUGUGCAGAGGGAGGGCCUCAGGUCCUGCUGCUCCUUCAUCUUGACCCCUUCACACCCUCCUCUAACAGGGACCUCGACCUCCCUUCUCCACUCUCCUGGAUCCUGCUCAGUGUGGUGCAGGCCUUCUCUGGGGCCCUGGAGUUCCCACUGACCUUCAGCCCCGCCAGUUGCAUCUGCUGUUCCCACUGAAGACUCUCAUGCUAGUCAGUUCCUGCCUGGGGUCACCAGACUGCUUCGAAGUCAGGAAGAACAUGGUGGGGACGGUGACUUGAGUUUCCUGGACCACAGUGCAGCUGUUCCCUUCUUCCCUCUGUCCUUGCUCAGCACGGUCACAACGACUCUCCAAAUCAUGAUGCUCAAAACGCCACAUCUAAAAAGAACAUCCGG
rnacentral:lncRNA from 10 species